rnacentral:tRNA from 1 species
GCCUGGGUGGCUCAGUCGGUUGAGCGUCCGACUUCAGCCCGGGUCAUGAUCUCGCGGUCUGUGAGUUCGAGCCCCACGUCAGGCU